rnacentral:rRNA from 1 species
UACAGAGGGGGCAAGCGUUAUUCGGAAUUAUUGGGCGUAAAGGGCGCGUAGGCGGCUUUGCAAGUGACGGGUGAAAUCCCUCGGCUUAACCGAGGAACUGCCUGUCAGACUGCAUGGCUUGAGACCAGGAGAGGUGAGUGGAAUUCCCAGUGUAGCGGUGAAAUGCGUAGAUAUUGGGAGGAACACCAGUGGCGAAGGCGGCUCACUGGACUGGUACUGACGCUGAGGCGCGAAAGCGUGGGGAGCAAUCAGG